GCGCCCUUGGUGUAACGGUAACACACGCACUCUACUUCUCUCGAAACGAGUGGUCCCGGGUUCGACUCCCGGAGGGCGCC